GAGAGAGGCCUCGGGCAACAAGGACUGCUAAUCCCUGCUACCGUAGUUAAACUCUACGGCUCACUCG
rnacentral:tRNA from 1 species